CCCGUGAUAGCUCAGUUGGUAGAGCGGAGGACUGUAGUGGUUGCAAGGCGCAGGCAUCCUUAGGUCGGCGGUUCGACUCCGUCUCGCGGGA
rnacentral:tRNA from 1 species